CAAAAGAGAAGAUCAAAAGAUUUCAAGCAUGAGAAGAAUUUGAGGUUCUAUUGCUGGCUUUAGAUAGAGGACCAGAGAGAGGCCUCCAGGAUCUAACAGCUAACCCUAAGCUGACAGCCAGCAAAGAAACAGGAACUUCAGUCUUACAGCUGCAAGGAACUGGAUUAUGCAAUCAAUCAUAUGAGCUCAAAAGUGAAUUCUUCCCAGAGCCUUCCAAUAAGAGCCCAGCUGAAAUAAAGACAGCUUGAUUUCAGCUUUGUAAAACUCAGAGCAGAGGAACCAGCUGAGCCCACCUGGACUUCUGACCCACAGAACUAGUAAGAAGGAGUCCACAAGCCGAGGCUGGACCAAUUGCUGGAAAUCAGAGUCCUGGAGGCCUUCGGGACAGACCCCAGCCAAUCUACGCAGAGCAGCCUGGGGAGAAGACAGAAGAGGUGACACAUGUCAGACUGGGCCAUGUCAGUCACAGGAAGCCCUCACCAUCUCUGCUCCCAGCUGCAAGGCAGCCGCCUUGUCCUUUGGUAGAAACGGCUUAGAUCAGCUUCCAGGCCAAUGAAACCUGGCCUGCCCCACCUGGACCUUCGUGACACGUUCAGCACAAGGUGGAACAAGGGAGCAAGUGGGAGAAGAGAUGCUCUCAGUGAGGGCUCAAUACAUUCAGGUUGCUCUGACCUGCUCUCCCAUGCUCACCCCUUCAUCAGCUUUUUACUGAGGCCAAAUCCAAUAAGAUAGGAACAGUUUAAAGUUGGAAUGUAUUACUUGGUAGGAAUAGAUUUUUUAAUUUGAGGAUCAUAAUGAAAUAUUUGCCAUCUCCUCACCACCCUAUUAAAAUAGCACCCACCACCACCCCACCCUGAGAUUAACUUACUCUUCUUCCCUAUUUUAUUUUCCCCAGGGCACUGUCACACUAUCAUCAUUGGACAUUUUCUAUCUUCUUGUACAUUAUCUGUCUUCCACUAGAAUUUAGGCCUCACAAAAGCAAACAAACACAUAUAUAGGCCCAGUUGCGCACAUACAAGCACAUACAUAUAUGCUCAUGCAAGCGAGGUGAUACAUGUACCUAUUUACAUACCUGCACAGGCAUUCACACAAGCACAAAGACAGUCCCCUACAUCCAGAUAAUCCACAUAACAUGUACACUGCUGCAAAGACAUACCAUUCUCCUGAAUGAUAUCAGAGGCGCACUGCUCUAGGACAGACAUGUUUGCCAAGAUGGUCACAAUCUGGAAAAGAGAAUUUAGAAACUGAGAAAAUGAAAACAACUGAUCCAAAUGGUACUCUCUACAGACAGGUCAGCCAGGGGUUACAAAUCUUCCUUUUAUCCUAUGACUCCUUCCUGUCCACUGGGCCUAUCCUUCCAUGGUAUUUUCUUCCAUCUUAAUGGGCUCCUGCCACUCCGAUGUAUUUCCCCAGUGACUAAUGCCCAUUUAUCAGCCUAUGGCCAUAGGAUGCCUCCCAAGGGCCUCAGAACACCCUAGAAAGACUAGCAUCACCCUGGGUGAAGUUGGGGCCCAGCUGUCUUUCUGCUCUGGUCCCCAGUCCUGAAAUGCAGACGGAACCAGCAGGUCCCUGGCCCCCUAACUCCUCUUUGCUGGCUUGUCCUCCUGACAGUUAGCUCUUACUCUAGAUUGAGUUCCUCCAUCCCAGCUUCUUUCCUGAAUAUUAACCCUCACCUACUUUCAACCUGCAAUGGAUGAAAGCUAAGGUCACGUUAGAGGGCAUGAGUAGGAGGACGCAGCAUUAUACCCCAAGCACUGGUAUUAUAUGGAAUCUGAUGAGAACAUGCAUACUCAGCUGCAUGUUACAAGUCUGUGGUAAGCCUCAGUCAUCAGUCAUCACAGAAAGUCUCUGCCUGUAGGAAAGGGGUACUGACCCCAGGUAGACAGUGAGUCUCAUUUACAACUUUAUGGGCUGUAAUCAGCCUCACCUGCAACCCCUUGUAUAGUCAAGGGGGAACACAGAACUCACAGCACAAACUGGAUUAAGGAAUGGCCUGACAGGGUACUCAUUCCAGGGACUCCAAAUUGCACAAAGUGCCAAAACACUACUGGAAUAUAUUGGAAACAUGGCACCUAUUAACUCAGAUACCAUCUACAACACUGCUCCUGAUAUAAAUCGCAAGAUGAAAAUUCACCCACUUUCACAGAAAUGUACAGCACUCUCAAGUGGUAAUUAAAAUAAAUAAUAAAAUUAAAUUAAAAAACACUUCUCACUAGUACGAGCCUCUCUCUCUCUCUCUCUCGAAAGGUUUCUUCAAAGUUUGCAGGAUGAUAUAAGCAAAGGCUAUGCUCCUCUCCUCUGAGACAGCAGUUAACAGUCUAUUGAGUACAAUGCAGGCAGCUAAAAUUCUUUAACUGGAUAGUAAUGUGAUGUCUACCAAGAAAGAGUAUCAUCUACAUUUUAAUUACUCUGGAUAACAAAUAUUACUAUUUUACUCUGGAUAACAAAUACAUGUAAAAAUAUCUUCUUUUAAACAGAAAGGAAAAAGCUUGCUGUGUUAAUAAAAUACCCAUCUCUCCCCUUUCUUUCUGAACACAUGUUGGAAGGCGAUGCCGCAUUCUUCUGCAGCAUCCGUGUGUGUGACAGCCCCUUCCAACUCAGACCCCACUGGAGCCUGGGUGGAUAAGCAUGACUACAGUGGGUUGCCAGAGGAAGGACAGAUGAAUACUCCAGAAACUAUCCUGAAAGCUACUCUGUACCACCAGAUGUUUUAUGAAGGGGGUGACAAGCUCCUUUUUGCAGUUAAGAUAAUAGGACUAAAGGAGAUUUCGGACUUCGAGGAUCUUUAAUGUAUUUAUUUACUAUUUUUGCACUUUUUAAGGUUGUGUUUGUGGGCUCAGUGGAAGGAGUUAGAGGGAAAAGCUGGGUUUAAGAUGCAGUCAAAAAUGGAAAGUUCCCCAAGAGGCACUAUGUGCACAUUCUUAUGAGGGAGGAGGUACACAGCCAAGUCCAUGUUGGUUUAGAGUUUAUUUGGCUAUCUCUGUGCUGUGAGCAGGAAGCAUGAACUCUGCUUCCACCACACAGGGGCUGCGCCAUCCCAUCAUCACCGGGUUGGCCUCUCUGACAAAAACACUUAGUUGACAUGCAGAAUCAUGAAGGAAGAAAGGAAGGGAGGGAAGGAAGCAAGGAGGGAAGGAGGAAGGAGCCAAGUAGUGAGAAAAAUGAAGGAAGGAAGGAAGGACAAAGUAGGAAAAGAAAAGGAAAGCUUUGUCUGCGGCAACGGGUUCAUUACAAAGUAAUUAUUAGCCGAGUCACAGGCACCACGUAGGUCUUUGUGUCAGACUAAUUUAGAUCCUGUUAAUGAAAAUUACUUCCUCUUUACAGAGCCUGUACCCCAUGUGGCUUUCUGGAGGUGCAGAUGAAGUAUUCAAUUAAGCACAAUUUGAAUAAAUGCCAAUUAUGCCCUGCUUUGAGCCCCUCUUUCGAAACAUCCUUGUGUGCACCAUAACAGAGGUCAUUGUUUAUCCUCACAGUCAAGUCCAUGGGUGGGAUUUUAGGGACAACUGUUUUACCUGGUUGGAUACAAGCUAGCAAUGCUGUGAGGCGGCAGAGUGCAGGAGCCAGCCAGCCAGUUUCUCCAGCCCAGGCAAAUUCAUUCCUGUCUGAUAAUGUUCCAUUAAGUUCUAUUCCACCUGAGUGAAAGGGCACUGUUGCCCUUGCAGUUGUUUGGUAAAUCCAGAGGACAUCACCCUUGAGAGUGGCCCUAGGCGAGAGGUCAGUGUAAUGUAAUAGCUGAGUGUAAUGCUCAACCUACAUCUAAAUCCUGGCUCUAUCACAUUUUCCUAUGAUCUUGGCCAUGUUACCUAACCUUCUGUGCCUUGGUGUAUUCAUUUUCUAUUGCUGCUAAAACAAAUUAUCACAAACUUAGUGGCUUAAAACAACACAAUUUAUCUUGCAGUUCUAGAGGUCAGAAGUUCUAAAUGAGUCUUACAUAGCAAAAUUCCAGGUGUUGACAGAUCUUCAUUUCUUCUGGAGGCUCUAGGGGAAAAUCAAUUUCCUAGUUUCUAUUUUCCAGCUUCUGGAGGCUGCUCUCAUUCUUUGGCUCAGGGGAGUAUAUCCUUCUGACCUUUGCUUCCUUAAUCACAUUUGAUUCUCGGACUCUAAUCCUCUUCCCUCCCUCUUAUAAGAACUUCUGUGACGACACUGGAUUUACUUGGAUAAUCAAGGAUAAUAUUCCUAUGUCAAGAUCUUAACUCAAUGGCAUCUAGAAAAUCCCUGUCACUAUAUAAAGUAACUUAUUCACAGGUUUUGAGGAUUAGGAUGCAGACAUCCUUGGGGGCCCUACCACAAGAAAUAAAAAUAAUUCAGCCAGGCACUGUAGCUCAUGCCUUUAAUCCCAGUUACUCCAGAGGCUGAAGCAGGAGGAUCACUUGAAGUCAGGAGUUUGAGACCAGCCUGAGCAACAUAACAAGACUCUGUGUCUAAAUAAAUAAGUAAAUAAAUAAAACAUCUCUUAUAAGACCUGUAUGAGCAUUCAGUGAUUAAUAUCUCAUCAAGCACCCUUUGUUAAAUAAAACAAACCUGGAUCACUCUGGGCAGGAGAACCUGAAAGGAUGCAAGCCUUGAAAGAUGUGUCAAGAAGCACCAGCCAAGCAACAUGCAGCACCUGGGGGCGGCAGGGUGGGUGGCUGAGCAUCAGCAUGGCCAAGACACACUGCUAAUGUGAGAUUCCUCCCAAAGGGGAGCCUGUCCCAGAGCAGGACAACCCUUCCCACAAGAGGAACAAAGUGUGUGUUCACUACCUUAUGUAGCGUUUUCAAAUUAUUUUUUCUUUGGCCCCCAAAGACAUUAAGAAAAUUGACGCAGACAGGAAAUUGAUCCAGGAUAGCAGGGGACCUCCCACGUCACUGGUUCAAGAAAAUAUGCCCCUGUGUGGUAGGAAGGAGGUUGGCGAGGCCUUUUGAUGUCAGUGCACACGGAGGAAAAGGUGCGCCCUGUGCUGGCCCAAAGCAGGUUUUCUGGAAACAGUUGUCUGCAGGCUGAUGACAAGGUAUGAACCAGGCCUGCCACAUCCUAACAGUGUCUCAGCAGUCAGCCCUGAUCACACCCUGACUUUGCCUGCAUUCCUUUGCUGGAAACUAAUACUGAAGACCAAACUGCAUUCAAGGCAAGUGAAGAAUACCCAGGACACCCAAGUAGACAGGUGCUCUGAUCUAAAGAACUUUCAACACAGAAAGCCUGGCACAUAUUUCAUGAAACAUUAUGAUUACUUUUAUGCUGUACAGAAAUUAGGACCAAAAGGCCAACAGCUUAUAUGACUGUAAUUUGAAUUACUCUUUAAUUUUCAGAUGAAUAUUUAGAUUUCUAUUCUCACCAUGUUAACUCUGAUAUUUGCAGCAACAAUGUCAACUGCAGCCCUGAGAACAAAAAGCAAAAUCAUUUUCAGCCUCUAGCAAGCUUGUCCAACCCAUGGCCUGCAGGCCACAUGCAGCCCGGGACAGCUUUAAAUAUGGCCCAACACAAUUUGUAAACUUUCUUAUAACAUUAUGAGAUUUUUUGUGUGAUUUUUCUUUUCAGCUCAUCAGCUAUCAUUAGUGUUAGUGUGACCCAAGACAAUUCUUCUUUCAGUGUGGCCCAGGGAAGCCAAAAGAUUGGAUACCCCUGCUUUAGGGGAAGCUCAGUGCUUCUCUGCACCUUCUUCCCUCCACACGACUUCCUCUACCAAAGAGCAGAAAGAAUCUGGACAAGGACAUUGAUUUGUAGAAUUAAGGGGUCUAAGGGAGGAAAGGUGUGGUAUCUUUGAACAUACUUUGUUUUACAAGGCCAGAGAAGCAAGAGAGCCCAGGAGAAAGUAUAGCCCUCUUCUCUUCUGCUCUCUUUUGAGCCUCUCCCAUCCUCUAGCAGGCAUGGCCCAGGGCCCAGGACCUGAGAGGGCUGGACAGGCAUAGAGGCUAGGAGAAGGGCACCUGCCUAGGCCCAGAGACAAGCAUACAGCUUCCUCUUUCCAGUACUUGGGUCUUCUCACUGACAGGAUCGGCAUUCUCUUCUUACUACUAUAGAGUCAAGAGUGGAGGACUAAAAUUUAGGCUUAGGAGACAGUACGAUAAAAGCCAUGGAACUGUUUUGGAUGUAGGUCUCGUACUGCUGGUGAAUAGGCUGAAGGGCUCUCCUGGGUGAGACCCAGCUCCCUCAUCCUGGGGAUUACACAAAUGUUGGGCUGUAACUCCACAGUGUUAGAGAGCAUAUAAAGGCCAAACCAUAUUCUCUGUGCUUGGUUUGCCCUUGGCUUUGUAGGGAGGGGUUUCCGGAACGGGUCGGGAUGGGGUGUUAUGAUCCGGGAUUCCUCCAAUACUACAUAACGUCCCUGAUAUGGUUUGGAUCUGUGUCUCCACCGAAAAUCUCAUGUUGAAUUGUAAUCCCCUGUGUUGGAGGUGGAUCCUGAUGGGAGGUGAUUCAUGGGGGUGGAUCCUUCAUGAAUGAUUUAGCACCAUCCUCUUGCUGCUGUUCUUGUGAUAGUGAAGUGAGUUCUUGUUGAAAAGUGUGAAGCACCUCCUGCUUUGCUCUCUCUUGCUCCUGCUCCUGCCAUGUGAUGUGUCUGCUUCACCUUUGCCUUCCACAGUUACUGUAAGUUUUAAGUCCUCUCCAGAAGCCAAACAGAUUCCAGCUUCAUGUUUUCUGUUUAGCCUGCAGAACCGUGAGCCAAUUAAACCUUUUUUCUUUACAAAUUACCCAAUCUCAGGAAAUUUAUUUUUAUUUUUAUUUUUGAGACAAGGUCUGGCUGUAUCGCUUAGGUUGUAGUGCAGUGGUACCAUCUUGGCUCACUGUAACCUCCAUCUCCCAGGCUCAAACCAUCCUCCCACCUUAGCUUCCCGAAUAGCUGGGACUGUAGGUGUGCACUACCACGCCUGGCUAAUUUUUUUUUUUUUUAGAGAUAGGAUUUCGCCAUGUUUCCCAGGCUGGUCUUGAACUCAUAAACCAAGGCAAUCUGCCCACCUCAGCCUCCCAAAGUACUGGGAUUACAUCAGGCAUUUCUUUACAGCAAUGUGAGAACAGACCAAUACAGUGACCACCACGUUAACUACAUUUCCUGACCCUACCUUCCUGUUUCAAAGCUGACAUUCCCUGUCUCAAACCUACCCCAGCCUCCAGUUCUGUUAGAGACUGUUGUCCCAUUCAUUAUUGAGUAUUCACUUUGGUUUUAAGUACUUUACUAGUGUUAUUCCAUUUACUCAUCAUAAUGACAUGAAGGAGGGAGCAAGUGUUAUUAUUUCCAUUACACAGAUGAGGAAAUUGUGACUCAGAGAGGUUAAGUGAUUUGUCCAAGGUCACAUAGCUGGGAAAUGGCAGAACCAGAAUGUGAACUCAGAUCUGUCUGAACUAAAAAGCUGCACUGUUUCUAAUAUAUCAUAUAUAUACAUGACAGAGCUUUAUAAACUAUAGAUUUUGAGAUGUGAGCCAAAAAUACAACCUCUAGUGACUAUCAUUUUCUGAUAAACGGUAUUCACAGUGAAAUCCCAGAAAUAUUACAAAAUCUGGUCAUUCUAAAAUGCCAAACAGAUGGUGUAUUAUUGUGGGAAGUAUAUAGUAGCACUCCUACCCUUAUGAAAAUAGUUAAUUCCUGAAGGCCACAAAAAGUCAGGCUCAGUAAAAUCUCUAUUACACAUUAGACAAGAUCAUCAGGUCCCUUCCAUCCUAGAUUGUCCCUGCUUCACAGGCAGGGCAGAGGUUCACCAAUAUAUCUGGAGACAGCCCCUUUCCUACCUCCCCCUGUCAGAUCUGUAGCUGAUUCCAUGGGAAGUAUGGCUCCUGGAAAUACCUCCUUGGCAUGAAAACAUAGGACUAUCCAGAUUACUUGUUGGGCUUCUCAAGGCCUGAGCAUAUCAGCUGCAGCCCAGGCCCCCUUCCUGUAAAUUAGCUGAAAAGCCUAGGUCCAAGGCUGCCCUCACCAACUUCCACACUCCAAGGCUGGCUACAGGAUAGGCAUGGCUAACGAUGCUUCUGUUGGACGAAUUAUGUGGACCUUGCUUGCCAGGAUGAUAGAGAAGUUCUCAUUGUUCAAACAGAGGUGGUCUGUAUAGAUCCAGGACCAAGAGGCUCCACACAGCAUUGUUGUCAUUGGCAGGUUCAUUACCGGAAGCCUCAUGGGGCAUUGAAUCUCCUAAGUAUUUCAGGGGGCAGUGAGCACUUCAAAGCCUAAUUCAUCUUUUUUGUCUUCAUUACAGGGAGCCCUGAUCACCUUAAUCCUUUUGCUGCCACAGGAAAGAGCCAUUUGUUUCUUUAAUGGGUGCACUUUCGCUAGCUAAGUGGCUGUUCUGAGCCAGGGCAGAAGGUGAAGCCAUCCUGAGGACAGGUGGUACAUGCCUGGCUCAGACAGUGGAAUAACAUGAAAAGCUACUGACUCCAGGUGCAGAAAGAACUAUCUGCUGGCAGCAUGACCACAUUCUCUCCCUACUCUGAUCUCCUUUUCCUAGGACUCAGUGAGGCUUCAAGAGUGGGCCAGUCACUCCUUGUGAUGAGAAGGGGGCUUCUACACAUAGAGUCACAGGACAUCCAAAAUGGAAGAAGCCAUAACUCUUUUACAGAUGAGGGAACUCCUCUCUGGAGGUUCCCGUUCAGUGCUGUGUGCCACACAUUCAAAGGCCAAUCAUAAUAACAUUGAUAGUGGCUUCUGUUGAAUUAAUAGUUUCUAUGUGUCAGAGUCUGUACCAAGAGUUUAUAUUUAUCAACUUAUUUAAUUCUUAUUUCAACUUUGUAAAAUAUGUAUUAUUUAUUUCCAUUUUACAGAUUAACAAAGUAAGACUCAAAGUUAAUUGCCCAAAGUGACAUGAUUAUUAAUAGCAAAAAAGCUUCAAAUUCAGGUUGUCUGACUCCAAAAUUCCUGGUCUUACUGACUCACUACUUGAUCUUGUAUGAAAUGACUGGAGUUAGCCACAGGAGAGGCACUUGAAGGUGAAGGGACCUAAAAUUAUGUCAGGUACAUGAGAGACCAGCAACUGGAGGUACCUAGCUGAAGACAACAAGAGCAUGAAUAGGGUGGAUCACAAAGGGUGCGCCCUCCUGUCUCCCUCACCACAACCAAGGAUAUGUCUACAGUAGACACGGGGCAUGUCCCCCUCAGGAGCCAGUCAGGCCAAUGGCCAACCAGGGGCCACCACUCUAUCUGUUACUGUCAUACCUUAUCUCUCCAGAGACUUAUCCAACUCUUAGAAGUAAAAGAUUAGACUGGAAAGGAAGUCUGGAAUUAUACAUGUCAUACAGUUUGGAAGGCUGAGUUGAGGAUUUCGGGUAACACACUAUUAAUGCUCUUCCUUGGAUCAUCAGGUUUAAAAAAUAAUGAUAUUCACCAUUUAUUAUGAACUUAGUAGGGGCUAAGCCUUAUAUUAGGUUUUUGCAUAUCUUAUUACACUUACCUUCACAAUAACCCUGCAACAUAGACAUUAAUGUCCCAAUUAAUAGAUGGAAAACUAACACGCAGGUGCCUUUGACUUGCUCAAUGUCACUCAAUUGAUAAAUGGCCCAGGCAGGACCAACACCCAGUCUGUGGUUCAACAGCUGCACGACCUCCUUUCUUCAAAGACAACAGCAGAUGAGAGUCAAAGAUCAAGUUCUAAGAAUUUAAAUGUAAACCUGAUUUAAAUGCUGGGUAGCUGCCUGCCAACCACUUAAUUUUGGGGAUAUCCUCUUGAGCCAAAAUAUUCUUAUCUACAAAAUGAGGCAAACAUCACCAGUGUCACAGUAGUAUUAGAACUCUCAUAUGCAAAUGCUUAGAUAUUAGAAAAUUCUCUCUGAAUAGGAGCUUCUAUGGUCAGCUGCCCUUUCACAGGUGAUUCUAAGGAUAAGAAAUAACUGACGAAGUUUAGGGAACUUCACCAAGGCUAUCAGCUCUAGGCUAGAGGCCUUAAAAAUCCUAGGGAAGUUCCAAACUUAGGUCAUGCCCUCAGAGGAGGAAAAUCACAUGAAAUAAUUAAGAGGAAUAAAUGUCAUUAGAUAAGUCAACACUGCAUUGUGAGUUACAAAUGCUAAGAAAAGGAGGCAACUCCAGAGAGCUGAAACCAUCAGGAAAGGCCUUCCUGGAGCUGCUGGCAUGGGACAGAAACCAAAGCAACUUCAGUUCAGAGAUAAGGGUGGAAGGGGUGAUGGUGUGGGAGCUAAAAUGCAGACAGGAAUAAGCUGAGUUGGGGGAGAGAGGAUCAUCUAACUUAGAGCUUAGGUACUGGGAGGAAUUGGGAGAGAGAAUCAUCUAACUUAGAGCUUAGGUACUGGGAGGAAUUUACAGAGACCUAAAGCCCACCUAAUCUACCACCCCCACUCCUUGUUGGGGGCCAGAGGUGAACCAGGAUAAAAUUCUAGGACAUCAGAGUUCAAAAAGCCUUUAAAAGCCCCUCAUUCUAUGUUUUCAAACACUUUUAGUAGUAAAACCCCUUUUCUACCAAAGAAAAUCUUUCACAGAGCUCAAAUAUACAAAGAAAAUUAUGACUGAUGUAGAGGCUGAAGCCCAGAAUUAAGGUUCUGCUCCAAGCCUCUGUUUCUCAUGAAGGUAGAGAGGAAAGUGGUUCACUACAGGGUUCAGUGUCAGAUGGGCACCAACAUGACCAGGACACAGAACUUCAGAGCAGGUCCAGGUACUUUCUGUGGGUCUUUCUGCCUCCAAGAACAGGCAAUCUGAAGAGAUUAAAGAAGGCCCUGAAGUGGCCAGGAUGGGCAAAGCAGAUAGGAAAUCUCAUAGAGAGGCUUUAAGGUCAAUGAGAGACAUGGAAAAUAUAUUCCUUUACCUUUCUGCAGCAUGUAAAGCUCACAAUGGGAUGAGCCAAAGGGGUAGGAGGUCUCAUAAAGAGGCUUCAAGGUCAAUGAGAGACAUGGAGAAUAUUUACCUUCUUACAGCAUGCAAAAUUAACAGGAUUCCCCUGCCCUCUCCCCUACCUCAGAAACUAAGUGCUGGCCUCCUAACCUCUGUCUCCACGGCUACAGGCCCUGGGCUUGGUGCCUUCUGGACACCUUACCUGGUCUCGAGUAUAAGGCGUGUCCACUCUCUGCUUGUCACUACAGGCUUCCAGGAGGACACGAAUGGCGUUCAGCUGCAGGAGCAUCUCGCAGGCCAUUGUGUCAAAGAAGGUGAUGUUGGCAAGGGCCGCAGAGGCCAAUAGGAAGACUUCCCCUGAUGAGGCCUCUUGGCACAGUUCUGGAUGGUGAAGAGAAAGAAAAUAACUUCCAUGCCAAGUGUUUUCAUAUCAGUUGUCCCUUUGGUUCCCACAAUAGCUCUGGGAGAUCUUCAGAGCAGGUGUUGUAAUACCCAUUUUGCAGAUGAGGAAAGUGGUUACUACAGAUGGAACAGUAUCUGUCUACACAAGUGACCAAGCUGGGAUUUAAAACAUGGCAUGUAACUCUACUCACUCCUUCAACCAAUAAGUAUUUAUUGAAUGAGCACUACGUUCCAGGUGCCAAUGGGGUAUUGGGAUGGCAUAGUGAACAAAACAGUUCAGGUCCUUGCCCUUGUUGAACUCACACUCUACUAGUGGGCAAGAAAAUGAACUUUUAAAAAAUUAUGCAUAAUUCCAAAGUCUGAUAAAUAUGAGGGAGAAAAUGAACAAGUGCUAAGACAGCAUAUCUAGUCGCCCACUGAGGUGCGCAACAAAAGGUGUCCCUAACAAUGUGACUUUACAGCUGAGACCUUAAAGGAAGAAAGGGGCCAGUCAUAAAAAUUACUUGGGGAAACAGAAUAUUCUAGACCAAAGGAAAAAGAAAUACAAAGCCCAUGAAGUGGGAAGGAGCUUCCAGUCCCUUUGUUUCUCCAGUAAUGCACACUAGCCUGCUGCUAACCUUGCCUUAAGGAAGAGACUAAAGGUAAAACAGAGAGAUUAUACCCCUCCAGCUGCCAUCAACAGAGCCUUGGUGCUUCCUUUUGGUCCCGGGAUAAGAGGCAUCUGGCAGCAAGAAAGUCCUAUACCAAGCUCCUGAAUGUCAGGCUCUUAAUCUCUAAUCCUAGUGGUCCUAGCUCAGCACUAACCAAACUCCCCCACUUACCAUCUGUAAUUGUACUAAGGACCUUUAAGGAGCAGAGUGACCUCAUCCUUCCACCACCCGACACAUCCCUCAUGGGCUCCACAGAACCUGGAAUGGACGCCCAUCUCAGGAGGAGGAAUAGAUUGAUUCUAUCCAUGGUGCUUCUCCCAUUUCAGUAGACCUGAUGUCUAGCCCUCAGCUCCAACCUGACCAUCAAUCCAGGUACUUCUGUGGUCCAGACCCUCUCCUACUGAUAACAUCUCCACAAAACCACAAAAGGCAAGACAUACUUCAGAAAAAGAGCUUCAGGAGAGAAAAAAAGUUCAAGAGACAAAAUUGAGUUAUGUUUUAUCCUGGUCCCUAGUUGCCUCCAGACAAACCUAUACCUCCAGGUUCUGAUGCAAAUGCGACCUCCUAGCAUCUACCUGUGAAUGCACCUUCUGAUGCCUACAUUUUAGUUUUAGUAAUAAAACCCUUUUUCUACCAAUAACAUUAGUCAAACACCUGCAGUGGGCCUUACACUAUGCCAUUAAAUUCUGAAUACCCUCAAAGUAGAAAAUGAUUGUCCACAUUUACAACUAGCUGAGUCUUAGAGAAGCUAGUAGUAGCAACAGCUACCAUUUAUUGUUUACUCACUGCUGUACAUAUUUUUACUUCUCCUUACAACAAUCCCAUUUUUAUCACUGUUUUGUAAAUGAAGAAAUUGAAGAUUCAUAUAUUAAGUGACUUGCCCAUGGUCUUAUGGCCAAUAAGUAACUGACUGAGGCUAGAAUCAAAUCCAGGUCUGCCUGACUCCAAAGUCCCCAUUCUUUUAUUCUCCAGGUUACUUCUGGUCUCUCAGCCUCUUUGGCUCAUUCCCAGUGAUGCUUCCAGAGAUGUGGGUUUCAGUUCUAUCAGGAGGGAAACACUUGCCUCUGGGCAAUGUUGCUCCCCACAGCCCAGGUGUGACCAUUAAACAACUCAAACUCUUGAUCCAACCACCAGGACUGGGACAACAGAUUAGCUGAAAUAUUAAGAACUCUGAUUCCCUUUAUCCAGUGAUUGUCCCAUCCUCUGAUUUUGGGAAAAUCACUGGAGUCUCCAGUCCCUUCCAGGUCACCUCCCUACAUCCAAGGUUUUGGGUGAGUCUACAGAGCACGGUGGCCCACUUUCCUGUGAGAUUCCUUCUAGGUCCAAACACUCCUCCUAAUUCUCAUUCAGUUGCUAUUGCUGCUGACACAGCAAUUAUUAACACAACUACCUAAGUGCCUUUUAAUUUUGCUGCACAUUUAUUUGAACUACAGUCUGAGUCACCUGGGAUGUGUUAGGAAGAUUAAAUUGAGGAUUCCAGUGACUCAUUUAUAAAUGUUUCCAGGGAAUGGCAAGAAGUUGGAGGGCUAUUUCCCACCAAAGAGCAGAAGUAUGGCUUCCUGCCCGGAAUAUAUCUGCUGAAUCUCAGAGUGAACUCUACAAUGCAUCUUCAUCAGGAUGAAAUAAUAGGAAGACUCCUUGGCUCCAGGGAGAAACCCAGCCUGGGAAGUAAAGCAAGAAUGAAUAUAUGACAAUAGUGAAAGGUCACUUGGACUAUAUGUACUUUGUUUAUUUGAUAAUGUUUAUAAGUAGAGAAAUUUUCUAUAAAAUUUACAAAUUUUGUCUCAUCUUUAAAAGUCUAUGCCUUUCCCACAUGGUAACAAUCAACUGAAAUUUACCAGUGACCAUCCCUUUAGACACUGCAUGAGUUUUUCAAUCUGACACAGGUCUCAAACACCUUUAUUCUUCCAUGUGGUGCUCUUCAACACAUUCAUGUUUCUUACUGGGCUCUAGAGGAUGUUGAAUAUGGGACUCUGGCAUAAGUGAGUCCUAAUGCUGUUGUGUAACCUUGAGAAAGUAACUUAACCUCUCUAGGCUUAGAUUUCUUCACCUAGAGAGUAUGCAAGGAACUAUAGGGUCUCUUGAGCUCCCUCUAGCCAAGACUUUCAACAAUGGGCUUCCAUGUUUUCUCAAUUUUGAAUAAAUGUGGACAUUGGCAAAUUGA